GUUUGUGCUGCUUUAAUAGUUCACUGGUAGCUCUUGUGCUUUGGCUGACUGUGCUGUGAGGAAGGCUCCUUCUGAGUCUGAGAGCGCCAGAGAGCGCGGCCGCCAGAGCACAGCAGGGCACAGUGGACGCUGUUCGCCCAGUCCGCGCGACACACCGGACAGAGGUUGACGGUCUCCUGCCCCUCUCCCGGCCCCCUUCAUCAACCGGGCUGUAGGAUUUCAGCCGAUCGAUCAUUGCCUGAAAAUUUAACCCAGACGGAAUUUGUUGGCCAGAGGACCGAUUUGGGGGCAACUGUGAAGGCUCGGAAGCACAGAGCGCACCAUUUGCCUUUGCUUUGCUUUUCCUUGGUUUCUUUUCGUUUGGUUUGCUGUACAUCUCGGUUUGUUUGGGUCGACAGACCCUACCAGCUCUCAGCCAGGAGUAGAGGAAGAGGAAGUGGAGUUGGCAAUGAGGAGAGCUGGUCCCCAACAGGAAGAGAGUUCCAGAGAGGCUACAGUAUGAUCUUCUUGCCCCUCUCCUCUCAGAGCUCAGCUGACCAGUGCCCAGUUGGACCUCAACCAGGAAGUUGGCUCCCCUCGCCCCUCCUGGGCAGGACCCUCCCCGUUUCCUUUGCUGGAACCUCACCCUCCCCCAAAAGCAUUUUCUGGCUGAUUGCCUUCUGUCAGCCCCAAAGUGCUUCAGUGAAAUGUGCCUGCCUGUCUCUGCUCCUUGUGAGAUCUACUCUCCCUCUGGACUUCUGA
rnacentral:lncRNA from 1 species